UACGAACUGUGCGAACGUUAUUCGGAAUCACUGGGCUUACAGGGUGCGUAGGCGGCUCAACAAGUCAGGUGUGAAAGCCCCCGGCUCAACCGGGGAACUGCGCUUGAAACUGUUAGGCUCGAGUCAGCUAGAGGUACACGGAACUUCCAGUGGAGCGGUGAAAUGUGUUGAUAUUGGAAGGAACACCGGAGGCGAAAGCGGUGUACUGGGGCUGGGUCUGACGCUGAGGCACGAAAGCCAGGGGAGCGAACCGGGG
rnacentral:rRNA from 1 species